rnacentral:rRNA from 1 species
UACGUAGGGUGCGAGCGUUAAUCGGAAUUACUGGGCGUAAAGCGUGCGCAGGCGGUUCUCCAAGUCCGUUGUGAAAGCCCCGGGCUCAACCUGGGAAUGGCAGUGGAAACUAGGGGACUGGAAUCUGGCAGAGGGGGGUGGAAUGCCGCGUGUAGCAGUGAAAUGCGUAGAGAUGCGGCGGAACACCGAUGGCGAAGGCAGCCCCUGGGCUGAGAUUGACGCUCAGGCACGAAAGCGUGGGGAGCAAACGGG